rnacentral:rRNA from 1 species
UAAGGAAUAUUGGACAAUGGACGCAAGUCUGAUCCAGCCAUGCCGCGUGAAGGAUGACUGCCCUCUGGGUUGUAAACUUCUUUUAUAGGGGAAGAAAGUUAUUUUUUAGGAUAUUUGACGGUACCCUAUGGAUAAGCACCGGCUAACUCCGUGCCAGCAGCCGCGGUAAUACGGAGGGUGCAAGCGUUAUCCGGAUUCACUGGGUUUAAAGGGUGCGUAGGCGGGUAUGUAAGUCAGUGGUGAAAUACCGGAGCUUAACUUCGGAACUGCCAUUGAUACUAUAUAUCUUGAAUAUUGUGGAGGUAAGCGGAAUAUGUCAUGUAGCGGUGAAAUGCUUAGAGAUGACAUAGAACACCGAUUGCGAAGGCAGCUUGCUACGCAAAUAUUGACGCUGAGGCGCGAAAGCGUGGGGAUCAAACAGGAUUAGAUACCCUGGUAGUCCACGCCCUAAACGAUGAUUACUCGACAUUAGCGAUACACAGUUAGUGUCUGAGCGAAAGCAUUAAGUAAUCCACCUGGGAAGUACGACCGCAAGGUUGAAACUCAAAGGAAUUGAC